UCAGCAAGUAGGUGAAGUAAGUAUCCGGGGUUUGGAAAAUCCCAUUUUCAUUAGCUGAUGGAAGUUCUUCAGGUUCUGGAAUCAUAAUUGCUGGCC
rnacentral:tRNA from 1 species